GGACUUCGACUUUAUAAGUCGUGAGGGUUCAAGUCCCUCUAUCCCCA
rnacentral:tRNA from 1 species